GACGAACGCUGGCGGCGUGCUUAACACAUGCAAGUCGAACGGACAGGCCUGCUUUUGUGGGGUGCUCGAGUGGCGAACGGGUGAGUAACACGUGAGUAACCUGCCCUUGACUUUGGGAUGACUUCAGGAAACUGGGGCUACUACCGGAUAGGAGCUCCUGCUGCCUGGUGGGGGUUGGAAAGUUUAGGCGGUUGGGGAUGGACUCGCGGCUUAUCAGCUUGUUGGUGGGGUAGUGGCUUACCAAGGCUUUGCCGGGUAGCCGGCCUGAGAGGGUGACCGGCGACAUUGGGACUGAGAUACGGCCCAGACGCCUACGGGAGGCAGCAGUGGGGAAUAUUGCACAAUGGGCGGAAGCCUGAUGCAGCAACGCCGCGUGCGGGAUGACGGCCUUCGGGUUGUAAACCGCUUUCGCCUGUGACGAAGCGUGAGUGACGGUAAUGGGUAAAGAAGCACCGGCUAACUACGUG
rnacentral:rRNA from 1 species